rnacentral:rRNA from 1 species
GGGACCCCAGGUCAGGCGGGACCACCCGCUGAGUUUAAGCA